rnacentral:rRNA from 1 species
UAGGGAAUCUUCCGCAAUGGGCGAAAGCCUGACGGAGCAACGCCGCGUGAGUGAUGAAGGUCUUCGGAUCGUAAAACUCUGUUAUUAGGGAAGAACAAAUGUGUAAGUAACUAUGCACGUCUUGACGGUACCUAAUCAGAAAGCCACGGCUAACUACGUGCCAGCAGCCGCGGUAAUACGUAGGUGGCAAGCGUUAUCCGGAAUUAUUGGGCGUAAAGCGCGCGUAGGCGGUUUUUUAAGUCUGAUGUGAAAGCCCACGGCUCAACCGUGGAGGGUCAUUAGAAACUGGAAAACUUGAGUGCAGAAGAGGAAAGUGGAAUUCCAUGUGUAGCAGUGAAAUGCGCAGAGAUAUGGAGGAACUCCAGUAGCGAAGGCGACUUUCUGGUCUGUAACUGACGCUGAUGUGCGAAAGCGUGGGGAUCAAACAGG